GACGAACGCUGGCGGCGUGCUUAACACAUGCAAGUCGAACGGAAAGGCCCUGCUUUUGUGGGGUGCUCGAGUGGCGAACGGGUGAGUAACACGUGAGUAACCUGCCCUUGACUUUGGGAUAACUUCAGGAAACUGGGGCUAAUACCGGAUAGGAGCUCCUGCUGCAUGGUGGGGGUUGGAAAGUUUCGGCGGUUGGGGAUGGACUCGCGGCUUAUCAGCUUGUUGGUGGGGUAGUGGCUUACCAAGGCUUUGACGGGUAGCCGGCCUGAGAGGGUGACCGGCCACAUUGGGACUGAGAUACGGCCCAGACGGCUACGUGAGGCAGCAGUGGGGAAUAUGGCACAAUGGGCGGAAGCCUGAUGCAGCAACCCCGCGUGCGGGAUGACGGCCUUCGGGUAGUAAACCGCUUUAGCCUGUGACGAAGCGUGAGUGACGGUAAUGGGUAAAGAAGCACCGGCUAACUACGUG
rnacentral:rRNA from 1 species